UUGGAGUACUGAUGGGAGGGGACAAAAGCUACCGGUUCAAAGAAGUGUGACACUUGAGUUUGUGGGCAAUCAGGAAGGACUUGGGGAUAAAGUGACAUUGAGAUAUGGGAGGGACUUGUUUUGGGUAUGUGAAAGGUUCAUUCCUUAGGGAGCUUGUAGAGUUAGCAAGAGCAGGAAGGAACCAUGGCAAGGGCUAUGUGGGGAUGGUGCUGCUGGAGUUCUGUAGGAAGAUAGAGAAGGGCUUCAGGUUUUCCUGGUGGAUGCUGGCAAGCCUCUGCAGGGGGGCAGGUGGACAGCAGGGCCGGGCUGGGCUAGACUGGGAACUGUGUGCAAACUGGGCUGGAGUCGGGAGAGAGAGUGAGACACAGUCAGUAGGUGACUGUCACACUUGGGUGAAGUGUGCAGAGGCAUGUGAACUAGAAGUGCGGUGGGGACAGGAGGAGCACGGCGGGCUGGCUGUCCCUGCUUGACACACAAGGCCCCGCUGACCCAGUGCCUUCUCCCCCUCUUGUUGAGCCUUCUUUCAUCAAGUGUUUACACUCAACAUCCUGCCCAAGCAUUCCUGGGAAGGUCACCCGGUCAUCCUGUUGCCAGUUCCCGUGGUCACCAUACCUCUCAACUCACUGGCUGGCCAACAGAACUCAGAGUCUCCUCUGCCAGUGACGAACGCCUGUAUCCUCCUCAGCCCCCAGAUCCACUAGUGUCUGGCUCCCCUGCCACCACUCUGGCCGUCCCUCUGUGCCAUCUGACUUUGUCUCCUCUUGGAGUCCUUGGGUCCCUCCUUUUCCCUUACAGCUGUUUUAAAUGCUAUCUACGCAGUUGUGUGUGGUUAUACUUGUCUGACAUGCCAGGACUUGAAAGACGGAUGCAGGAGGAUUGUGAAUUUGAGGACAGUCCAAGAUAUGUAGCAAGACUCUGUCCCCCAAAACAUUAAACAUGAAAAUUUAAAAACCAUAAAUACCAUUUAUGUGUUUCUGACAUGAAAACUCUGUGAGAUCUGACCUCCCCGGACUCAAACUUCUGGGUUUCCUUUCUCCAUGGGCUCUCAGUGGACAGCUGACAGGACUCAUGCUUUAUCCACCUCUACUUAGGGCCUUUGCCUUGGGUGUUCCUCAACCCCCAAUGCUCUUCUCCAGUGACCCCAUGGCUGGCUCUUCCACUGCUUUGAGGACUUCAUCCUGCCUUGUCAUGUUAUCUAAAAUGAGGCCACCUUUACUACCUGUAGCCCCUCUCUGCCGUGGCUCCAUUAAUAACAUCAUGCAUGUUAUUUACAUGCAUGUUUGCCUUUGCUCUGAUACAGGCUUCAUGAUACAAUCUUGCUUUGGUUUAUUGCCUGCAUUCCUGGUGCCCUCAAUCAUGGCAGGUGAUAGGAACUUCCCACAUCUGUUGGGUGAAUGAAGAAGGCAGGGAUAAGGAACCAUAUCUUGUAUUAUUCCUAUCUGGGGAGCAAAGAUACAUGGAAGGUCAUCAAUGGAGUUGCUGGUGUGCAUGCCAGGAGGACACAAGGACUCCUAAGGCCAGGUCAAGGAAGAGUGGUUUGAUAGUGGUGUGAAGGACAUUUUGAGAUUGAGUGACUUGGGGAUGUGUCUACUUGGGUACUGGAAAUGAAGGGCAGAGAGAGGUUGGGGCCAGAGGUAGAUGUGACUGUCCACAUGGAAGUGUAAAGGAAGAGGAGGUAGGGAGAAGGAAGAGAAAUGGGGAAAUAGCAAGCCCACCAAGAACCACUUUUGUGUGCACAUGUGCAUUUAGAGAAGAGAUAUUUGUAGGCACAUUUUGAGAGUGAGAGAUUAAACAAGAGGGACACAGAAACUUAAGGACUGGCAGCGUCAAGGUUCAACUAAGAUGGCCCAGUUGGUGAAGGCAUCUGCUGUCAAACCUGCUGGUUAGAACCCACAUGGUACAAGAACAGAAACAACACCUACGAGUUGUUCUCUGACCUCCACGUCCCAUGCAGUAAGCCCCCCACCACACCUGAAAAUACUCAAAAAAACAAAACCAAAAAGAACAGGGUGUCUGGCCUAAGGUCACAGGAAUCUGGGGGUUCCUGGGCCCCCCACUCAGGUGUGACCAUUGCUCUCUUCCUGUUGCCAGCAGCAGACAUUUCUCAAUGAUGAGGCUCUCCACCUCCAAAGCUAAUAUUUGUCUCCUCUUGAUCCAGCAUCUAGUGUGUUACUUUUUAACUGGAGCCCAGGGUUCAAAGGCCUGGCUGUUGUUUAAACACUCAGUCUACAAGGGUGACAUGUCCUCCUCCUUUCCCAACCUCACUGACGAACCAGCAAGGAAUGUCCAAGCAAAGAGAAUAUGCAGAAAAGGGCAAAGGGCCGCAGAGUGACUGCAGCCCCGCAGAGGGUUCUGGAGAAGGAAGACCCCACGGGAGGGACAUUUAGAGAGCUAAAUGACAGGCACAGCAUCAGCUCAGGCUUUCUGACGCACUUGUUAAAUACAAGUUACUAUCUAAGAUUCAUUAUCGACAGAAACUCUUCUACAAAUACAACGUGGUGGUACUCCACCACGCAUCCCCCAGAGUGGAAAUUCCACUUUCCAGUCUCUAGGCCACUUGGCUCUUUGCCCUGUUGCACAAAUAGGGUGCUCACAUGAUCCGUAGGAGGCCCUGGUUUCAUGCUGGAGGCAAGGGUGACGGUAGGGAGGCCUGUACUCUUGGACAAUGUCUUUUCAAGUUAUGUAGACGUUUCUUGUUUACAAUGGAUUUCGUGGCUGAAAAAGGCCCUCUUGCCCUCAAAACCCUUUCAUACUUAGUUUUAUGGUAACCAAAUGGUGUAACUUUGUUCUUUUUAAUUUUUUUAUCUUAAGCAUCAUCUUUAGCAGUUAAAAAAAAACCUACUUCUGUGUCCAGCUAAUUGGUCACUUACAUCUUAGUAUAAAUGAGUUUAUUGGCAUUUUCCAUGGGAUGUUUGGUGGAGGAGCCGACAGCCGGUAGUAGAGUCAUAGGGGAGUGGUGGCCUCUUACCCAGACACCCUGGAUUUCCAGUUCCACUCUGCAAGUUUAUUUCCUGAUAUGGAAAUUGGUGCCAACAUGGUAAUAUCAUAUCAGGCUGAUUGGAGAUCUAUGAAAUGCAGCAGAAUCCUGAGAGAGGAAACCAGACUCCAGAGGCUUGGUGAAUGGCUGCAAGGCCACUGUUUCCAGGAGAAACUGUCUCUGUAAGGUCGUCCCCAGGCUCCGCUGCAUCUGGCUACACCUAUGGUCUUGCUUCUGGCCAGGGGCCCCGGGCAGAGGUUUGCUUUCAUCCUGCAAUCUUCCCAGACUCUGUCAUCUCGCCUUUGCUUGCGGGCUGUAGGGUACCCUGUCUCAGUGGAUUGUGGAGCUGCGGAGGGGGGGAGUGCCUGAGUUCCUGAAUGAGCAUCUGCUUAAACCUGCAAAGGAUUGUGGGAAAGUGGCCUUUGUCAAGCCACUUUGACUUGGGGAUUGCUUGCUACAGUGUUAAUCUGUCCCAGUGAACUCAUUUCUUCUUACCUGAGGAUCUUCCAUGGAGGAGGAAAAGUUAACUGUGAUCCAGAAACCUGGAGAACAAUCCACACUACGCUCUAGGAGGCCUGGGAACUCCCACUGUAAGGUCAAAUGUCAGAGCAUAAUCCACAACCUCCCACCUCUGGAAGCUGUGCUGAGAAACCAAAGGAGAGAGAAGUGAUGCUUGUUUGAAUGUGGCUCCUCGGCCAAACCUGGGAACGCCUGUUGCUCACUGCUGAUGUCAGGGGUUAUAAAACUCUGGAAAUGCCAACAUCACUCGGCUCUAACAGCGGGCUAAGGGCCUAUCAACCUAGCAACUACACAGUAGUGGUAAUCUGUUCAUCCCGUUUGUCUGUAAGAACUGACAGUGGUCCUUCCCCCUGCUUGUGUCCCCUCCUGAGCCUGGGGGAGGUGACAGUUCUGGGAGCUGGUGACAACUUGGCAGCAAGUUUCUGAAGCUACAGCAAGGGCUGACAACCCCGAGUCCUGCUUGGUGUCACAGGCCAGCAGACAUUGAGGAGUCAGGAUGGAUGAAAAAGGCAAGGCUUCCUCCACCCCCAGGAACAGGGAGACCUGGAACGGGAAACCUACACAGGUCUGGAUGCCCAGGACAUCUUUCUGAGACACGCCAUGGCUUGGCUGCCAAUGUCAUUUACUCUCCCGAAGUCUAGCGCACACUGGAAAGCAGCCGUGAACUCAGUCACCUUUCCAGGUAUGGAGUAAUAGGAUUGUGCUUUUUGUAUCAAGUUGGCAAUUCUUAGGUUUAAUAGACCUAAGACAAAGACAAAACCUAGAAUAUGGAUGAGGGCAAAUGAACUUAUUAUGCUUAUCCCGUGUGUUCAGGGAAGACUUCAUCCCUAAGGUAGGACUGCAGUCCUUCAAACCUUUGACACGAUUAAAAUGGCAGACUCUCGAAGCAGUUUUAAAUCAGACAACCCAUAAUACUUAUGUAGGAAAUGUUCCAGCUUUCAUAAUUCUUUAUUAAAUAUUUGACAAGUGGCGUCACCGCUUUACAACAUCUUUCUUCACUUUGUCACAGUUUUUCAUUUGCUGUCAGGAAAACAAGCUACAGUGUCUCUUUAGCUCUCUCAAGAAGAAAGAGAAGGACUUGAUCGUGAAACUUUGCGUGUGUACCAGAUUCAAGCUAGGUUAAAGUUCUCCGGACUGGGAAAGCGAGCAUCAGUCACUAGGCUGUCUUAGAAAAAACAUCAAGGUAGUUUGGUUUUGACCAUUGUAUCAAAUAGCACUCAGCUUUGUUAGGGGGUGGGGUUAGAAUAAAAAGUUAAGAAACAUUGAGAAUUCA